ACGUAGGAGGCGAGCGUUAUCCGGAUUUACUGGGUGUAAAGCGCGUGCAGGCGGUUUGAUAAGUUGGAUGUGAAAGCUCCUGGCUCAACUGGGAGAGGUCGUUCAAGACUGUCAGACUUGAGGAUGGUAGGGGAAGGUGGAAUUCCGGGUGUAGUGGUGAAAUGCGUAGAUAUCCGGAGGAACACCAGUGGCGAAGGCGGCCUUCUGGACCAUAACUGACGCUCAGACGCGAAAGCUAGGGUAGCAAACG
rnacentral:rRNA from 1 species